rnacentral:rRNA from 1 species
UACGUAGGUGACAAGCGUUGUCCGGAUUUAUUGGGCGUAAAGCGAGCGCAGGCGGUCUUUUAAGUCUGAUGUGAAAGCCCACGGCUCAACCGUGGAGGGUCAUUGGAAACUGGAAGACUUGAAUACAGAAGAGGAAAGUGGAAUUCCAUGUGUAGCGGUGAAAUGCGUAGAUAUAUGGAGGAACACCAGUGGCGAAGGCGACUUUCUGGUCUGUAAUUGACGCUGAGGCUCGAAAGCGUGGGGAG